rnacentral:rRNA from 1 species
AUUGAACGCUGGCGGCAGGCUUAACACACGCAAGUCGAGCGGGGGAAGGUAGCUUGCUACCGGACCUGGCGGCGGACGGGUGAGUAAUGCUUAGGAAUCUGCCUAUUAGUGGGGGACAACAUCUCGAAAGGGAUGCUAAUACCGCAUACGUCCUACGGGAGAAAGCAGGGGAUCUUCGGACCUUGCGCUAAUAGAUGAGCCUAAGUCGGAUUAGCUAGUUGGUGGGGUAAAGGCCUACCAAGGCGACGAUCUGUAGCGGGUCUGAGAGGAUGAUGCGCCACACUGGGACUGAGACACGGCCCAGACUCCUACGGGAGGCAGCAGUGGGGAAUAUUGGACAAUGGGGGGAACCCUGAUCCAGCCAUGCCGCGUGUGUGAAGAAGGCCUUAUGGUUGUAAAGCACUUUAAGCGAGGAGGAGGCUACUUUAGUUAAUACCUAGAGAUAGUGGACGUUACUCGCAGAAUAAGCACCGGCUAACUCUGUGCCAGCCGCCGCCGUAA